rnacentral:rRNA from 1 species
AUUGAACGCUGGCGGCAGGCCUAACACCUGCAAGUCGAACGAGUGGCAGACGGGUGAGUAAUGUCUGGGAACCUGCCUGAUGGAGGGGUAUAACUACUGUAAACGGUAGCUAAUACCGCAUACCAUCGGAUGUGCCCAGAUGGGAUUAGCUAGUAGGUGGGGUAAAGGCUCACCUAGGCGACGAUCCCUAGCUGGUAUGAGAGGAUGACCAGCAACACUGGAACUGAGACACGGUCCAUAUUCAUACGGUAGGCAGCAGUGGGUAAUAGUGCACAAUGGGCGCAAGCCUGAUGCAGCCAGGCCGCGUGUAUGAAGAAGGCCUUCGGGUUGUAAAGUACUGUCAGCGGGGAGGCGUUACCCGCAGAGGAAGCACCGGCUAACUCCGUGCCAGCAGCCGCGGGAAUAC